GAUGAACGCUGGCGGCGUGCCUAAUACAUGCAAGUCGAGCGAACAGAUGAGGAGCUUGCUCCUCUGACGUUAGCGGCGGACGGGUGAGUAACACGUGGAUAACCUACCUAUAAGACUGGGAUAACUUCGGGAAACCGGAGCUAAUACCGGAUAAUAUAUUGAACCGCAUGGUUCAAUAGUGAAAGACGGUUUUGCUGUCACUUAUAGAUGGAUCCGCGCCGCAUUAGCUAGUUGGUAAGGUAACGGCUUACCAAGGCAACGAUGCGUAGCCGACCUGAGAGGGUGAUCGGCCACACGGGAACUGGAACACGGUCCAGACUCCUACGGGAGGCAGCAGAAGGGAAUCUUCCGCAAUGGGCGAAAGCCUGGCGGAGCAACGCCGCGUGAGUGAUGAAGGUCUUCGGAUCGUAAAACUCUGUUAUUAGGGAAGAACAAAUGUGUAAGUAACUAUGCACGUCUUGACGGUACCUAAUCAGAAAGCCACGGCUAACUACGUG
rnacentral:rRNA from 1 species